rnacentral:rRNA from 1 species
AACAGGAUUAGAUACCCUGGUAGUCCACGCCGUAAACGAUGCUAACUCGUUUUUGGUUUUUCGGAAUCAGAGACUAAGCGAAAGUGAUAAGUUAGCCACCUGGGGAGUACGAACGCAAGUUUGAAACUCAAAGGAAUUGACGGGGGCCCGCACAAGCGGUGGAUUAUGUGGUUUAAUUCGAUGAUACGCGAGGAACCUUACCAAGACUUAAAUGGGAAUUGACAGAUUUAGAAAUAGAUCCUCCUUCGGGCAAUUUUCAAGGUGCUGCAUGGUUGUCGUCAGCUCGUGCCGUGAGGUGUUAGGUUAAGUCCUGCAACGAGCGCAACCCCUGUCACUAGUUGCCAUCAUUCAGUUGGGGACUCUAGUGAGACUGCCUACGCAAGUAGAGAGGAAGGUGGGGAUGACGUCAAAUCAUCACGGCCCUUACGUCUUGGGCCACACACGUAAUACAAUGGCCGGUACAGAGGGCAGCUACACAGCGAUGUGAUGCAAAUCUCGAAAGCCGGUCUCAGUUCGGAUUGGAGUCUGCAACUCGACUCUAUGAAGCUGGAAUCGCUAGUAAUCGCGCAUCAGCCAUGGCGCGGUGAAUACGUUCCCGGGCCUUGUACACACCGCCCGUCAAGCCAUGGAAGUCUGGGGUACCUGAAGUCGGUGACCGUAACAGGAGCUGCCUAGGGUAAAACAGGUAACUAGGGCUAAGUCGUAACAAGGUAACC